rnacentral:rRNA from 1 species
UCCAGACUCCUACGGGAGGCAGCAGUGGGGAAUAUUGCACAAUGGGGGAAACCCUGAUGCAGCGACGCCGCGUGAGUGAAGAAGUAUUUCGGUAUGUAAAGCUCUAUCAGCAGGGAAGAAAUAGCGACCUUUGGGUCGCCAGACGGUACCUGAUUAAGAAGCCCCGGCUAACUACGUGCCAGCAGCCGCGGUAAUACGUAGGGGGCAAGCGUUAUCCGGAUUUACUGGGUGUAAAGGGAGCGUAGACGGCCAUGCAAGCCAGGGGUGAAAGCCCGGGGGCCAACCCCGGGACUGCCCUUGGAACUGGAUGGCUGGAGUGCGGGAGGGGGAGGCGGAAUUCCUGGUGUAGCGGUGAAAUGCGUAGAUAUCAGGAGGAGCACCGGCGGCGAAGGCGGCCUGCUGGACCGCGA